UUUCUCGUAUGGAUGCUGGCAGCAGCUGUGGAUAAUCCGAGACCUUUCUUCUCUCAUCCGUGGCUUAUCUGUUAACUUUCUAAUUCUGAAGUGUUUCCUCUCUUUGAUAAUUGGUGACUAUCAUCUUCUUCCUGUUGGCGUUCUUGCUCUCAAGAUCUAUUUAUCUUCUUGCUGCAAGUAUGUUUCUUUUUCAAUUAAUUCUGCAUAUAUGUUCUUUUUUCUCCUUAAUUCUUUUAUUAUUCUCUCCGUCCUUUAAAAUUUUGCUAUUCAGUGGUUGUAGAAUCCAUUUAUCGUCGACCUCAAAUUCCAUGUUUUGUAUCUCGCGUUGUCUCUCUUUUUUCCCCUUUACCAGAAGCUUCAGCCAUGUGCAACAAUUUCCCAUUGUUGAUCUUCUCUUCUCUAAAUGCUUCUCUAUGUCAGCCGGGUAUUGGCAAUGAUCUGGUUGAUGAACCUAAUUAACAAGAAGAAAAUUUUGGGUAUAGCCUCACAUUGCUUAAUAAAGUUUGGAAUUUUUUUCCAAUUAUUUUCCAAUGUUCCUCUUCUUCAACUUCAUCUUCUCUAUUCUGCUCUAUCAUGUCUCUCUUACAGUAAGUUGUUCAUCUGUGUCAGAAUAAUAGGAACGAGAUUCGAGUGUUCGUACCAUCUGCAGAAGGCUUCAAUUAUUUGGUUUUAGUUCAGGUUAUCUUCUUCAGUUUGAUUCCCAGUUAUUUUUCUUUUUCUGUAUGACCCCUAUCAUCAAUUUCUCAUCUCUGGUCUUCGUUCCGCAUAGAAUUAUGAAAGGAGGAUUACUGUAGCGUGUAAGCACUCACUGCCUUUAUUUCACCAGAUAUAAAACUUCAACGUUGUGAUAAACUUUUCCUCGUUUGUACUUAGAUUUUACUCUCUUAUUGCUACUAUGAGUUUUAACUCUGCCUUCGAGUCUUUUGUUCUUGGCGGUUAAGGUCCGAUGAAAUUCAUAGGUUUAGGAAGAAGCACUAUAAAAUUGUAAUUUUUUUGACCAUAUUUUGGUUGUUAAUACGAUUUAUAAGGGCUCUUAAUUCAAAGGCUAUCUUUAAUACAAAUUUUACCCUGAAGUAGUUCAAUUCAAACUAGAAAUCAUUAAGUGGAUAGUAUAAUCAAUUGGGCUCUAAGUAUUCUUUAGAAUCCCAGCUUCUUGAUCGUCAAUCUUUUAAAAUCAUUCAUUGCAUCUGACUAGCUACAAGUUGAGUUGUUUAUUUGAUUUCUGGCAAUCGGAAUGUCGUUUCCUAUAUUACUUGACUACUGUUGCUUAUGGUUGAACAUUUGAUGAAACAUAAAUUUGCACCUUCAUAGUUGUAGGAGGGUGUGUAUAAUAAUAAUUUUGUGGUGUUGACAUCAAUGGUGGUAUUUACUGAAAAGUAUGGGAAAGUUGAUAAUUUGUUUCAAUGUUUUAAUGAAUCUUUGUACUUUACUGAUCCUAUAUCACAUUUAUACACAUGUCAGCGUUGAUUAAAGUAGGUAGUUGAUCAAUGCUUUUUAUCUUCAGAAGCUGUAAGGGGCAGAGGAGAUUGUUUUUCCAACUGGAUGCUAAGUAUAGUUGGCUCUAAAGUGUAAUAAGGUAGGUUGUAACUUCAAUUUUAUUAUUCUGCUUCAUUCCAAUAGCCUUUCUUUUAUUAAUUUUUUUGGACCUACUUAUGCCAAAUUAUAUAUUUUUCUCAUCAAAUGGCAUUUUCCUAUUGUCUUUGCUUCGUACAUUCUUAUGGAGAGUAGUUUGCUCCCCUCGAUAUGUCAUGUAACAGGUUCCAAUGCGUUUAUCAAAGACCGAAAGAUCACAACAAAUAAAGCUGAUAAGUACAUACCUCGGUUUACCCUUAAAUUGAUGCAUCACAUUGUGUUAACAUGAUUGUCUUUAAAUAUUAAUUCAAUAGGAGCUUUAAAUUCGAUUUUGACAAAUUAGAUAAGUAAACAGUAGAUAUGAGGUGAAAAGAGGUUAACAUUUCUUUAUGUUUUGAAUGGUAGCUAAGAUGAGAUUUCAGAUGGAAGUUGGUUUGCCGAUCUUGAUAUCAAUUUUGUAGAUCUAUUUGAUUUUACAUUACUCAAGUUUGUGCAAAUACAUUUGACUAAUUAAUAUUCAAUAUAAUGCUAAUAUCACAAAUCUACUUCAAAUAUUUGCUUCACGUUGGGCCCGUGCUGGCACGGACUAUUAUUACCUAGUACAACAAAAAAUUUCUUUCAACCAAGAUUCAACAUUAGCCAUUCAACAGAAUAUUUUACAACCAGAAUGUUAGCAACUUUCAACACAACAUCUCUCAACCAAAAUCCAACGGGGAUUAUGGGAAGCUUAAUAACGUAAGAUAUUUACGUUCUAAAGGAGUACGGUGCAAUUUUUUUCAAGAAUAUCAUACGAAUCUUUCUCUACUCCAGGUAUGUUAAGGCUAUUCCUUCUUUCUUUUUGACAUAAUUUAUAUGUAACGAACGCACGCGCAAUUGCACAACUUCCAUAAAUGACUCUAUUCACAGAAAUACUAAAGAUGCUUAUGUUCUAGCGAGAUUUUAUUAAAUUAUUUCAUAUGCAUUUAUACAUGCAUAUAUAUAUCCGUGUGUGUGUGUGUGUGUUUAUGUGAUAUGGAAAAUGUUAUGACAAUAUAUACAUACCACCACCCUAUCAGCUGGUAUGCAUUGAUGAUAUUGCCCACAGUGGCAGAGAUGAUAUGAUGGGAUGCCCUAAGAGGACUGAUGAUGUUAUGAAAUAUGUACCUGUGCACAACAUGACAUUCAUACACAUAUGCAUCACACUAUAAUUAUUUCAUAAAUUGCGUAGUUACCCAGACUUACAGGUUGAGCCAUUUAUUCUCUAUUUCUUCCAUAUCUGUUAUGUACUUAUUUGUGUGCCUUACAUACUCGGUACAUUAUUCGUACUGACGUCCCUUUUGUCUGAUGAUGCUGCGUUUCAUGUCCGCAUGUCCUGAUAGACAGGUCGAGAGCCCUUCAAGUAGGCUAUCAUCUCGACAGAAGAUGUUGGUGCGCUCCAUUUGCUUCGGAGUUGCUUGUUGGGUUAGUAUGAUUUAGAUGCAUAUUGUUUGGUAUAGCGGGUCUCUGUUCUGACCUUUAUGAAAUUUAUAUAUUUUUAGGAUUGUAGACAGAUGUCAUGUACGUAAAAGAUUGUAUGGCCUUAUCGGCCUAUGUUCAGUAUACGGGUGGUUAUUUUGGUCUUAUAGGCCAGUAUAUCUUAUGUAUAUGUUGGUAUCACAUAUUGUGUUCUACUUAUCUCACGGCAGCCUUCCGGCUCAGUUAUCUAUGUAAGCAU
rnacentral:lncRNA from 1 species